UGCUUUGGACAUAUCGAUGUUGUAAACAUAUAUUAUAUCUAAAUAUCAGUAUCCUAUCGCAAAUUAUACCUAAAAACUGUUUAUUUAUAGUUAUGAAUAUAUAGUAUAUGUAUAUACUUAUAUAGAAUAGGAAAUAAAUCAUUUUUUGUUAUUUAAUUAUAACUUAUAAGAUAUAUGGGUGGAAGCUAAUUUCACAUAUAAUAUUUUCUUCUCUAUUACAAUUGAUUUGAUACUAUUUCUCACUGACGAUAACAUUUUUUAUGGUACAACACAUACAUGACGUAUAUUCUCUGCUCAACGUUAUUCAUUUAUUCACUAUAAUAACAUUAUACUAUAACACUAUGAUGUAAAGGUUGUGAGACCGUUGUUGUUGUUUUUGGCAUUCUAAUGAUGGAAAGUAGACCGCUUCUAAUGAGAGAGAGUUUAAUGCCUUUAAUGAAACGAUACGUUGUCGACCAUUUCCACACACCUCCAGGUUCGUGUAUAUUUGUAUAGCUAAUAAUUCGAGUAGGGUAUUUUCAAUCAUAUAAAUACGGGUUGUAUCAGUAUAUUCGAUAUCACUCGUUUACUACUCGCAAUCGAUAACAAGUGCUCUAAGUACGACUGUUGUACGGAUAAAUACGAAAAGAACGACGACGACGACGACGACGACGACGAUAGAGACUACUACGAGACUUAGGAAUACGAGAGGGAAUCACCUUCAUUAUUUUUUUUUUACGAAAAAUUGAGAUAAUAUGGAAAGUUUAAAGAAAAGCUUGACGACGCAGUCGAAUACACGAUUCAUGUCCGUGGGGGAUCUGACUAUUAACUUUCCAUACCCGAUCAUACGAAUGGAAAAUCGGGAUACUCAAUAUGGACUGACCGUCCACUGUGUACUAGAGUGCGGUGAAGAUGGCGGACUAAUAGAAGUGUAUCUCCCAAGAUCCAUAAAAAUCGGCGAUGAGGAGGUGAGGGAAUUCAACCGGGGCGGAGAAAAUAGGAUGUUAAAUCUGAUCUUCAAAGGACGGCGAGGACGGUCAUUUAACAUCGGAUUUCAAUAG